rnacentral:rRNA from 1 species
UAGAAAAAAUAAAAAUAAAGUGAACUGAAACAUCUAAGUAACUUUAAAAAAAAAUCAAACGAGAUGCCGUUUGUAGUGGCGAACGACUGCGGUAUUUGGGAAUUCUUCAAACUAUUAUUCGAAACAACCAAAGAAGGUUAUAGUCCUGUAGAAAAAAAACAGUUGGGAGAAAAAAGUAAGGCAGGGUUUACUGUCAGAAUUUUGGGCUACCACGCUCAACCCUAAAAAUUUUUGAUGACCGAUAGAAAAAAAGUACCGUAAGGGAAAGGUGAAAAAAGCUCUUUAUAGGGGUGAAAAGAUUUGAAACUUGUUGUUAACAAUCUGUUGAAGUCUUCAGACGACAGCGUACCUUUUGCAUAAUGGGCCAGUGAGUUUAUUUAAAUGGCAAGUUUAAUCCGUUAGGAGUAGACGCAGUUAAAUCGAAUAUUAAUUAUAUGCCGAGUCAUUUGUAUAAGACCCGAAACUAAGUGAUCUAAUCAUGAGCAGGUUGAAUAUAUUGUAGUAAUACGUAUUGGAGGACCGAACCCGUGUAUGUGGAAAAAUACUGGGAUGACUUGUGAUUAGGGGUGAAAGGCCAAUCAAACUUAGAGAUAGCUGGUUUUCCGCGAAAUCUAUUUAAGUAGAGCGUUUUUUUUUUGAACAACGGGGUAGAGCUCUCAAUAAACUAGGGGGUUAACUCUUACCAAAUUUACUGAAACUACGAAUACGUAUGCGGCGAAAAAAAGCAGACAGACAUUGGAUGCGAAGGUCUUCUGUCAAAAGGGAAACAGCCCAGAUCGCCCGUUAAGGUCUUCAAUAAAUAUUUAAGUGAAUAAAGCAGUGAUUAAACAAAAACAAUCAAUAGGUAGGCUUGGAAGCAGCCACCCUUUAAAGAAAGCGUAACAGCUCGUUGAUCCAGUUUUGUCGCGCUGAAAAUGUAUAGAGACUCAAAAUAUUAACCGAAACGGCGAAUUUUAAAUGAAAAUGGUAGCGGAACGUUCUGUAUUUUUUAGAAGGCAAGUUGUAAAAUUUGCUGGAGAAAUCAGAAGCGAGUAUACUGGCAUGAGUAGCGAUAAAUAAUGUGAAAAACAUUAUCACCGUAAAUCCAAGGGUUUCGUAGCACGGCUAAUCCGCUACGAUAAAAUUGUAAAAUUUUACAAAAAGACGGCCUCUAAGAAAUGUUAAGCGAAAGCUUGCUUCAAUGAGUAAUAUUUGUAUUUUUCUUAAAGUAUGUGACGGAGUUUAAAGCUUAUUAAAUUUAUUUAGUUUGUAAAAAUUUCCAAGAAAUAGCUGCUUUAUUAAAAAACCGUACUGAAUCCGACACAGGUGGAUAGGUUGAGUAAACUAAGGUGCUUGAACGAACUUUGUUGAAGGAACUCGGCAAAAUAACCCCGUAACUUCGGGAGAAGGGGUGACUUUUUCGGGGCA